ensembl:lncRNA
AGCAAGAAGAACAAACAUUCAAAACUGUGUGUGAAUCAUUUUUCUCUUGAGAGUGAUGUUAAUGAAAAUGUAUUUCUUCUGUUGUAAGGUUUUGUAGUACACAUUUUUACUAAUUCUUAUCUAGGAAAGCUUUCUAUUUUUAACCUGUGGUAAACUGAAUUCUUCUUUGUCAUCUUGUUAUCAUCAACUCUAAUGAGCAGCAUAAUCAGUUUGUGGUAUUGGGAUCCAUAUCUCAUGUCUCAUUGAGCUCAGAACAUACAAAAAGUAUGUAAGCACAAUUCUCAGAACCCAUCUUGUGUAGACCUACUAUUUUAGCAGGUCUUUACUCAACCUCUGUUUUUGUUUUUCUCAUCAAUUAAGUGAAGUGACAAACUUUAAAAAAAAAAGUGUAUUAUAUUGCUUGUUUUUUUUUUAAACCACGACUAAAUCUGUCUUUGUUGUGCUUCAAUGCAUUCCAAGGAUUGGAAAAAGUUCCUUCUCAAAGAGGCAAUGGAAUGACUAAAAUUGCCCCUCUAUUUUAAGUUCAUUCACAUCCACUGACAUGUUUUAAGUGCAAAGAUAAUUUGUUAUCCUUUAAAUGUGUGUUACCCUUUAAAACACACAUGUAUAAAGAUAGAGAGAGAAAAUAAGAUUUUAUUGCAUAUUUAAUAAAAUCGGGUGCCUUGUUGCUUACUCCCUUUUGUCCACAUGGCCUUUGAAAGAAAACAAGCAAGUUUCUGUUGCCAAUUCUUCAGGAAAGCUCAUAUCAUAUAUGAUUUGUAUUUUUAGGAAUUGGGAAGCUGUUAAGAAAAGAGAGCUAUCUUUGCCAUUCAACCAUAUUAGAAUGAAUCAAUAAUUGCAUUUCACUUUCAGAAGAUUCAAACUCAUAAAAAAGAGCAUUUAAAAACUUCCAUUUUUUUUUCUUGAGAGUUCCUUGGGGAAUCAAAAUAUCUAUAGUUCUUUAUAACACAAAGGUUAAAUUUAGAUUUGGGGAUUUUUAGUAUCUCCCAGACAAAAGAAUUAUGAAGCACAGGCAUUUGGCAGAAUUAACAGCAGGAGAAGAAAAUUAUUUUGUUAGCUCAUUGCUUAUUCAACUGUUUGCCUCUAAGAAUCUAAAACCUGUAGAAAUAGAUAGACGUAUAAAUGUUGCUACAUUAUGACUGUCCUGAGUCACAUGAAGUAUUGAAACAAAAAACUUUAGUUAAGUAUUGUCUUAGUAGUAAAAUGUAUUAAUUAGGUUUAAAAUGCUAAACGAAAGUAGUUCUUUGAAGUACUCUAUGCCCUUCAGGGCUCUUUGUAAGCAACUGCCAACUACAGGUGACCUAAAAAGCUAAGACUUUAGAUAAGCUGUAGCAAUUAUUCCAAGAUGCUUUCUACAGGAACUCCACGCCACAAGUCAGAAAGAAGCCUCAGGACCAUCUGCUCUCCCUCAAACUCUGUGAUUCACUUCAAUAUAUUUGUGGGGAUUUCACAUGUUUUUUUUGUGUCUGAUAUACAAUAUACAGUUUGCAUACUAGACUUAAGUUGUAAUCCAUUUGCUGUUGAGAAUGAAUUGUUUUGGAAGAUGAAAGGGUAUUGCAUGACAAUCAUUUGCUUGGGUUUUGCACUGGAUGGGUUUCUGGACCAUCAGAAAAUAGCACUGAAUGUACUGUUGACAUAAUGUAGAAAUUAUAAGCUGUUGGUUUUUGCCAUGUGAUAUUAAAAAAUUAGUAAAAAGGAACUGGGCAGUUUGGCUUAUAUUUGCUUAAAAUUAUGAUUGUUAUGUUGCUUUUUUUUUCUUCCAAAAACUGUAUUUGCUUAAAAGGUAUAUAGUUAAGAAGGAAACAAUGUUUAUUGAAUGGAGGGACUUACAGAAUGAUGUCACAUGUGGACAUAAUUUGACCUUUGUCAUGCAGAUUGUUAACACCAGCUAUUAAAAUAUAUUUUAGUAGAAAUGUUUUAAUUCACGUUCUUUUCCCUUGACACUGUGAAUCUUAAAACCCUGAUGGACUACAACAUCGUCAUGCUAACCCAAAUACUAACCUAUGCAAACUAGAUCACGUUUCAUUUGAUGUCACAGUGAAUGUAAUAUGGUAUUUUUUUCCCUGCCUAAUAUGCAAUGGCAUUAAAAACAAAUG